CCUACGGGUGGCAGCAGUGAGGAAUAUUGGUCAAUGGACGAGAGUCUGAACCAGCGAAGUAGCGUGAAGGAUGACUGCCCUAUGGUUUGUAAACUUCUUUUAUAAAGUAGUAAGACGAGGCUCGUGUUCCUUUUUGCAUGUACUUUAUGAGUAAGGAUCGGCUAACUCCGUUCCAGCAGCCGCGGUAAUACGGAGGAUCCGAGCGUUAUCCGGAUUGAUUGGGUGUAAAGGGGGCGUAGAUGGGUUGUUAAGUCAGUUGUGAAAGUUUGCGGCUCAACCGUAAAAUUGAAAUUGAUACUGGCAGUCGUGAGUACAGUUGAGGGAGGCGGAAUUCGUGGUGUAGCGGUGAAAUGCUUAGAUAUCACGAAGAACCCCGAUUGCGAAGGCAGCUUACUAAACUGUGACUGACAUUGAUGCUCGAAAGUGUGGGUAGCAAACAGGAUUAGAGACCCUGGUAGUC
rnacentral:rRNA from 1 species